AACGAACGCUGGCGGCGCGCCUAACACAUGCAAGUCGAACGAGAAGGCGUAGCAAUACGCUUGUAAAGUGGCGAACGGGUGAGGAAUACGUGGGUAACCUACCCUCGAGUGGGGAAUAACCAACCGAAAGGUUGGCUAAUGCCGCGUACGCUUCCAUCUCUUCGGAGGUGGAAGGAAAGCUGUACCGUGGGUACAGCGCUCAAGGAUGGGCUCACGUCCUAUCAGCUUGUUGGUAGGGUAACGGCCUACCAAGGCAACGACGGGUAGCUGGUCUGAGAGGACGAUCAGCCACACUGGCACUGCGACACGGGCCAGACUCCUACGGGAGGCAGCAGUGAGGAAUAUUGCGCAAUGGGCAAAGCCUGAC
rnacentral:rRNA from 1 species